rnacentral:lncRNA from 1 species
CCAAAUGAAUUAGAAAAGAAAAGUAAAACUACAUCAAAAGUUCCAGCUACAUCCAAAUAGCCUAAUUUAGGCUCAAGGUCCAACAAUAUAAGAUAAACCAACUUCCAGGAUCAGAUUUCCAAAAAUCUUUCUCAUAUUUGGGAUGUGUCAAAGUUCCCAAGAGUCUCAAAGGGGCACCGGACUAUGCGUACACCCCAAACACAUUUCAGAAUUAAGAUCAUCAUGCAGUGUGGAAAUACCAAGCCUCAGAUUUCCAAGUUCAAAGGGAACUCAAGGUCCCAAAGCAAAGCUCAUAAGAAGAGGCAGAACAUAAGAGUCUAAGAACAAGUGUAAGUGCAUAUAGGGGAAUUAGGGAGAGCCAUGGCAUGCUAAUGGUCAUGCCCAGCAAUUAGGAUCCUGCCACACCCCUGACCGGCCUGUUAGCCAAACUUAGGAGUUAGGACCCAUUGUGGAUCAGGUUAUGUCUUGGGCAGAAAUUAGGAUAUUGCCAGUCCAAGAACCUUAACUCAAACAUAUAGAAGGGAAUAGGGGUAGGGAUUCACAAUAGAAAUAGAUACAACUAUGAAUAUAAUUAGCAUAGAUCAUUGAACAUGAGCAUUAAAACAAACAAGAGUGCUAGAACUGUAAAGUAAACACAUAGGUAUGAGGCAAAAAAACUAAAUGAAAAACAUACUAGUUUCAAAGGAAAACAAGUAAGAAAACAGUAGUCUUGAGAGGGCCAAGUUGCAAACAAAGUGAUUCCAAAAUAUCUCAAGCAAAACAGAGUGUUGAAUUCAAAAUAGUACUGCAAAUGUGCAAAUACUGAAUUGGAAGACUAGUAGUGAAGGUGGUGUGAAGAUGAAAAUCGUAAAGUGUAAGUUUGUAGUUCUAAGGUGUCUAGAUCUCAAAGUGUAGAUGUGAAAGUAUUGAAUUGGAAGUGUGUUAAAAGUGCAGAAGGGCAGUCCCUUCUAUAGUCCAAAGAAAACCAAUAAGAAAGGUAAGGAAAUAUCGUUGAAAUCAGUCUCUCUUUGGUUAAGAGAUUCUAAUUCCAAAGGGUAAAAACCAGUUAAGGAAGGAAAACUUGAUUAAAACCUUACAGAGCAUCACCAAAAGGGGUAAAUACACAUAAUUUAUUUAAGGAAAGCAAUCAAUAGUACACGGUUUGUGCCAAAUAUGGCAAGGGAAUCAAUCAAACCGCCAUGAAACCAAAUUUACAAGUUCAAUUUGAAUGAACCAAGUCAAGAAAGGUAAAGAAUGUUCAAUCGAAGAAAAAAUCAAUGACAAAUCAUUAGUUUUAUUAAAGGGAUUUCAGAAUCAAUCACUUAGUUGGUGAAAACCUUUUUGAAAGAGGAAUUUUCUCAUAUAUAAAGCACACAUAUCAAACAAAAGAUUCGUUAAGUUACUUAAAAAAAGAGUUUAACAUUGAAAGCCUCAGGGUCACAAGCAAAAGGGGCCAAGAGCAAAAGUGAUUGCAAGUUCAACUACAGACUCAUGGUGAGUCUAAAAGCCUAGGGUCCCAAAGUGGAACCCUAAUACCAUUCACCAAAAGAAAAUCCCCAAAUCCUAGGGUUUCAAAUUGAGUCAGGUAAUAGAGGUGGAAAAACAUGUCAUUGAAAGAGGCUUAGAAAUCUCUUUCAGAGACAAACAUACACAUACAAGUUCAAAAGAAAUAGAUGAUAUAAGUUUUUAAACAACAGUAGAGAAAAAUAUGCUUAGCAGGAACACGAACAAAGUUCAGUAAAGUGAACAAAACUCACAGAAUUCAACUAUAAACACAUAUAGCAAAGAGUAAGGAAAACAACACAAAUUAAUAUGCGAGCAUAAGAACAAUAGCAAAAGAUAGAAAAGUCUUGCAUAAUUAAAAAAAGAAAUAAGAGAUCAAACUUAUGCGUAAUAAGAAAAAAACAUACGAUCACAAAACAAACGUAAAGAAAUAACAGGAAGAAUCAGAAAAAUAUUUGAAGAAAACUUUUUAAAAACCCUAAAAUCAAAAGUGAACGGUUUUUAAAAAGGAAAUUUGGGUAAAACCUUUAAAACGUCAUGUAAAGCCCAAGCAUGGCACAGAUCUAAGAAAAACUAAGCAAGUACAGAACCUCAGAUGGCUUAUACUUGAAAAGAAAACCCUAGAACAAGAAACGUCUUGAGGAAAGUCGGAUCCUGAGUCGAAAAGACUCAUAUUGCUUGAACAUGCCGGAAUAAUGGCCAAAGAGGCCAUAGAUCUACAGAUCUGAGAAAGAUCUAAAGAGAAACAUUAAAUUCGGGCUUCAGAACCUUGAGUAGCUUAGGUUUAAUGGUGUGAGAGAGUGAGUACAGGCCAUCUAUGGCCUGGAAUGCAAUGGAUUCCGGUGGAAUCAUGGUGGAAUGAGGUGGGAAUCGAUUAGGGUUUAGGAGAGGCUAGAGAGAGUUUGAGAGACGAAGGGGGUUCAAAGGCGACGUCUCUGAUAGAA